AACGAACGCUGGCGGCGUGCCUAACACAUGCAAGUCGAGCGAGAAAGCCCGCAAGGGUGAGUAAAGCGGCGCACGGGUGCGUAACACGUGGGUAAUCUGCCCUGAAGUCCGGAAUAACUCGUCGAAAGGCGUGCUAAUGCCGGAUAAGACCACGGGAACCUCGGUUCCUGCGGGAAAAGGUGGCCUCUGUAUACAAGCUAUCACUUCAGGAUGAGCCCGCGGCCCAUCAGCGAGUUGGCGGGGUAACGGCCCACCAAGGCUACGACGGGUAGCUGGUCUAAGAGGACGAUCAGCCACACUGGAACUGAGACACGGUCCAGACUCCUACGGGAGGCAGCAGUGGGGAAUCUUGCGCAAUGGGCGAAAGCCUGACGCAGCAACGCCGCGUGUGUGAUGAAGGUCUUCGGAUCGUAAAGCACUGUCGGGAGGGACGAAUAAGGUGCCAGCUAACAUCUGGCGCUGAUGGCGGUACCUCCAAAGGAAGCACCGGCUAACUCUGUGCCAGCAGCCGCCGUAACAC
rnacentral:rRNA from 1 species